rnacentral:rRNA from 2 species
UUUAUUGGAGAGUUUGAUCCUGGCUCAGGGUGAAUGUUGGCGGUGCGUCUAAUACAUGCAAGUCGAGCGAGGCUUCGAGCCGAGCGGCAGACGGCUGAGUAACACGUUGGUAGCUACCUCAAACUCGGGGAUAACUAUGAGAAAUCAUAGCUAAUACCGGAUGGUCCCGUAAGGGUAAAGUUUUUACGGUUUGAGAGGUGCCUGCGUCCUAUCAGGUAGUUGGUAAGGUAACGGCUUACCAAGCCUAUGACGGGUAACUGGUCUGAGAGGAUGGCCAGUCAGAGGGAAACUGAGACACGGUUCCCACUCCUACGGGAGGCAGCAGUAAAGAAUCUUCCACAAUGGACGAAAGUCUGAUGGAGCGACACCGCGUGCAGGAUGAAGGCCUUCGGGUUGUAAACUGCUUUUUUGGGGGAAUAAUUCUGAAUGUACUCCAAGAAUAAGCACCGGCAAAUCACGUGCCAGCAGCCGCGGUAAUACGUGAGGUGCAAACAUUACCCGGAAUUAUUGGGCGUAAAGCGUCCGCAGGCGGCGUGGUAAGUAGGGUAUUAAAUCUUGAGGCUCAACUUCAAGGCUGUGCCCUAAACUACCAUGCUAGAGAAAGGGAGAGGUGAGUGGAAUUCUUCAUGUAGGGGUAAAAUCCGUAGAUAUGAAGAGGAACACCAAAAGCGAAGGCAGCUCACUGGCCCUUUUCUGACGCUCAUGGACGAAAGCGUGGGGAGCGAACGGGAUUAGAUACCCCGGUAGUCCACGCUGUAAACGAUGAUCACUCGAUGUCGGGAGUUCGACCCUCUCGGUGUCUAAGCAAACGCGAUAAGUGAUCCGCCUGAGAAGUACGGUCGCAAGAUUAAAACUCAAAGGAAUAGACGGGGACCCACACAAGCGGUGGAGCGUGUGGUUUAAUUCGAUAGUAAGCGAGGAACCUUACCAGGGUUUGACAUCUCCCGAAUUUUCUGGAAACAGAGAAGUGCCGUAAGGAACGGGAAGACAGGUGCUGCAUGGUUGUCGUCAGCUCGUGCCUUGAGGUGUUCGGUUAAGUCCGUAAACGAGCGCAACCCACGUCCUUUGUUGUAUUUUUCAAAGGAGACUGCCUAGCAUAACUAGGAGGAAGGUGUGGAUGACGUCAAAUCAGCAUGGCCCUUAUACCCUGGGCGACACACGCGCUACAAUGGCCGGUACAACGGGCAGCCAAGGAGUAAUCCGGAGCGAAUCCCUAAAACCGGUCUAAGUUCGGAUUGAGGGCUGCAACUCGCCCUCAUGAAGCUGGAAUCGCUAGUAAAUGUGUAUCAGCCACGGCGCAUUGAAUAUGUUCCUGGGUCUUGUACUCACCGCCCGUCAAGUCAUGAAAGAUUGGGGUGCCCGAAAUUCCCGCUCAGCGGGGCUUAAGGCAAAACAAUUGAUUGGGACUAAGUCGUAACAAGGUAUCCGUACGAGAACGUGCGGAUGGACUACCUCCUUUU